rnacentral:rRNA from 1 species
AUUGAACGCUGGCGGCAGGCCUAACACAUGCAAGUCGAACGGUAACAGGAAGCAGCUUGCUGCUUUGCUGACGAGUGGCGGACGGGUGAGUAAUGUCUGGGAAACUGCCCGAUGGAGGGGGAUAACUACUGGAAACGGUAGCUAAUACCGCAUAACGUCGCAAGACCAAAGAGGGGGACCUUAGGGCCUCUUGCCAUCGGAUGUGCCCAGAUGGGAUUAGCUAGUAGGUGGGGGAACGGCUCACCUAGGCGACGAUCCCUAGCUGGUCUGAGAGGAUGACCAGCCACACUGGAACUGGGACACGGUCCAGACUCCUACGGGAGGCAGCAGUGGGGAAUAUUGCACAAUGGGCGCAAGCCUGAUGCAGCCAUGCCGCGUGUAUGAAGAAGGCCUUCGGGUUGUAAAGUACUUUCAGCGGGGAGGAAGGGAGUAAAGUUAAUACCUUUGCUCAUUGACGUUACCCGCAGAAGAAGCACCGGCUAACUCCGUG